GGAAAUGGGUGCUCUAGUGUUAAUGGCUCAGAAGAAGAGAAUUCUGAAUACCAUAUUGCUGAUGAGGAGGAGCCCAGUACUGCAACUGCCGGCUCUGAGGAUCACUCUGAAUCAGAUAUCUUUGAAAUGCAGUUAUUAAUGAUGACAUCCCUUGAUUAGGAGAAACAGACCAGACAAAUGCUUAAUAUGCACCCAGAUCUUCCUAUUACAUCUCUUGGUGAGUUAUGUGUUACUUUUCUUUUAUUUUCUUUUCUGCUUUUCUUUCUUUUCUGAUUUUGAGUAGAUUUCUUAAUUAAGACCAAUCUUCCAGAACUUAAUUAACUGGGUUGAUGGAUUGGUGAGGGGAUUAUUCUAGUGAAGGAGGAGGAGCAGAAGCAAAGGCAGGAGAGUAGGGAAAAGGUUUUGUAACAGAACCCAAUCUUCCAGAAUCUAAUUGUUGUUGUAUUGUUUUUCUUCAUUCUAC
rnacentral:lncRNA from 1 species